rnacentral:rRNA from 1 species
UACGUAGGGCGCAAGCGUUGUCCGGAAUUAUUGGGCGUAAAGAGCUCGUAGGUGGUUCGGUAAGUCAGGUGUGAAACCUCCAGGCUCAACCUGGAGACGCCACUUGAUACUGCUGUGACUGGAGUCCGGUAGGGGAGCGUGGAAUUCCUGGUGUAGCGGUGAAAUGCGCAGAUAUCAGGAGGAACACCAGCGGCGAAGGCGGCGCUCUGGGCCGGUACUGACACUGAGGAGCGAAAGCGUGGGUAGCAAACAGG